GUGGACUCCUGGGGUGGAGCUGCUACAGGAAGCAGAAGAUGUGCUUGUGGAGAAAGAGGUGACUGUGACCUUGGACUGUCAACUUGUAACUGUGACGCCAAUGACGAGGUAUGGCGGUCAGAUGAAGGCUUCCUUUUGGACAUGGCCUUACUUCCAGUGAGGGAGGUGAGGUUUGGAGACACACGAGAUGCUCCCUUGGAGAUGGCCUUCCACACAAUCGGAUCACUGAGAUGCAGGGGGCACAAGUACAGUAAACCAGUCCUGGAGUCCUGUGCUGCUUUAAAGGACACUGGUAUAAUCCAUUCAGGCCGCUAUGUCAUCG